UUUUAGAAAUUAAUUUAAAGUCUAACCUGCCCACUGAAUAAAUUUAAAUGGCCGCAGUAUCCUAACUGUGCAAAGGUAGCAUAAUCAUUAGUCUUUUAAUUGAAGGCUGGAAUGAAUGGUUGAAUGAAAUAUUAACUGUUUCAUAAAAAUUUAUAAUAGAAUUUUAUUUUUUAGUCAAAAAGCUAAAAUAUUAUUAAAAGACGAGAAGACCCUAUAAAUCUUUAUAUUUAGAUAAUUUUAAUUAUUUAGAUAAAUUAAAUUAUAAUUAUUGUAAAUAUUUUAUUGGGGUGAUAUUAAAAUUUAAUAAACUUUUAAUUUAUAAUUAACAUAAAUUAAUGAAUUAUUGAUCCAUUUAUUAUGAUUAAAAAAUUAAGUUACUUUAGGGAUAACAGCGUAAUUUUUUUAGAGAGUUCAUAUUGAUAAAAA
rnacentral:rRNA from 1 species